AAGUCUAACCUGCCCACUGAAUUUUUUAAGGCCGCGGUAUAUCUGUGCAAAGGUAGCAUAAUAAUUAGUUUUUUAAUUGAAGACUUGAAUGAACGGUUGAACAAAGAAAAAGCUGUCUUUAAUAUUUUCUUUGAAUUUUACAUUGUGAAAAGGCUUAAAUUAAUUGGGACGAUAAGACCCUAUAAAUCUUUACAUUUAUUUAAUAUUUAUUUAAGUUGUAAAUUUAUUAAUAUAUUGAAAUAUGUUAUAUUGGGGUGAAGAUAUAAUAAAAAACUGUCUAAAACAAUAAUUGAGCUUAAAAAGAUCCUUCAUAAAGAUAAGUUUAAGUUACUUGGACAGCGUAAUUUUUUUUGAGAGUUCAUAUCGAAAAAAAAGUUUGCGACCUCGAUGUUGAAUAAUUUCUUUAUGAUGCAGAAGUCAUACAUAGAAAGUCUGUUCGAC
rnacentral:rRNA from 1 species